rnacentral:rRNA from 1 species
UACGUAGGGUGCGAGCGUUAAUCGGAAUUACUGGGCGUAAAGUGUGCGCAGGCGGCCGAGCAAGUCGAGUGUGAAAGCCCCGAGCUUAACUUGGGAACUGCGCUCGAAACUACUUGGCUAGAGUGUGGCAGAGGGAGGUGGAAUUCCCGGUGUAGCGGUGAAAUGUGUAGAGAUCGGGAGGAACACCGGUGGCGAAGGCGGUCUUCUGGACGGUGACUGACGCUGAGGCGCGAAAGCGUGGGGAGCAAACGGG